CUUUGGGUCUGGUUAGGGUUAGGGCUUCCUCUGCUGCCCCCUGGAGGAUGGGCUCCCCCUUUGGGUCUGGUUAGGGUUAGGGCUUCCUCUGCUGCCCCCUGGAGGACGGGCUCCCCCUUUGGGUCUGGUUAGGGUUAGGGCUUCCUCUGCUGCCCCCUGGAGGAUGGGCUCCCCCUUUGGGUCUGGUUAGGGUUAGGGCUUCCUCUGCUGCCCCCUGGAGGACGGGCUCCCCCUUUGGGUCUGGUUAGGGUUAGGGCUUCCUCUGCUGCCCCCUGGAGGAUGGGCUCCCCCUUUGGGUCUGGUUAGGGUUAGGGCUUCCUCUGCUGCCCCCUGGAGGACGGGCUCCCCCUUUGGGUCUGGUUAGGGUUAGGGCUUCCUCUGCUGCCCCCUGGAGGAUGGGCUCCCCCUUUGGGUCUGGUUAGGGUUAGGGCUUCCUCUGCUGCCCCCUGGAGGACGGGCUCCCCCUUUGGGUCUGGUUAGGGUUAGGGCUUCCUCUGCUGCCCCCUGGAGGAUGGGCUCCCCCUUUGGGUCUGGUUAGGGUUAGGGCUUCCUCUGCCGCCCCCUGGAGGAUGGGCUCCCCCUUUGGGUCUGGUUAGGGUUAGGGCUUCCUCUGCUGCCCCCUGGAGGAUGGGCUCCCCCUUUGGGUCUGGUUAGGGUUAGGGCUUCCUCUGCUGCCCCCUGGAGGAUGGGCUCCCCCUU